rnacentral:lncRNA from 1 species
GCACCCACGCGGCGCAGCUCCCAAAGUUGCAGACAGCCCGGCGAACCGCGCAAUGCGCUUCUUCUGCCUGCAGCAGAGAAAAGGAAAGAAAACUCCGCAGGGGCUCCGUUGGCUUCUCCACGAGUGACAACCAUGUUUUCCCAGAUAGAAGACCGGAGCCCUGCUCCUUUGCGAUCCGCCGAGGGCUGCAGAGAGCAUCCUCAUCCAUUUGGGCACCCCUGCCCAGGAAGAGCCCGGCCAUCCCUUUCCGGACUGGAUCCUUAAGAGGUGAAUUUUCUUCCGUGGAUUCCGAUUUGCUCCGUCUGACCAGCCUAGGCAAUCCAGCAUCGCGUGGUACCAGUGCCGCUGGGCACACUGGCUUCACGCCGGCUCCGCCUCACCAGCAAGCGCAUUCCCAGGUGGUCAGGCUCAGGAUGGACCAUGAGCUUUCAAAAAGGAAAAAGAGGAGAAAAUGAGACACUGAGUGGGACUCAGGGAUUGCUCCAGGCCACACAGUCAGCAGGAGGCAAAGCCCAGAUUCAAAUGCAGAUUACUCAGCUCCACAAUCCACAUCCUCACAGGAGGCUGCACUCCUUGCCCAAGCGUCAGACAGGAGCAAAGAGAAAGAAGGCAACCAGCUGGCUACUUUCUUCCCUUCUUGGAUGCCUCCAACAGGGUGAGAAGGACUAAACAAAUGACCAAGUGUCAUCCCAUUUUGGACAUACUUAAAACACCCCAUGGAAUUUUUAUUCUGACUUUCUUCUGCCUGUGUGGCAUUUAUGUUUAAAUAAAAGAGAAUUCAACUCGUA